rnacentral:snRNA from 1 species
GUGCUCAUUUCAGCAGCACAUAUACUAAAAUUGUAAAGAGACGAACAAGAUUAAUAUGGUUCCUGUGUCAGGAAUUCUUGGGAGACACCAGUAAUAUUC